CAGUCGCGUACACCGGCCAACUAGGUGACCGUCGCUCAUUGGUGGAGAGCACGACCUGAGGACAGGCCAUGUGGCAAAACCUUUACUGAUUGGUCAUGGAGGCACCUGCGUCCAGGACCCCGGCACACGGCCUUCCGGCUUGUUUCCAUUCAUUUAGCCGCUUGAUCCUUCCGUGUACCACACUAAUACAGUGCCUGCUGGUGGAGCUAUAGCCCUAUGCCCAGCACCAGUCCUGAAUGCAAACGAUCCGACCUGUCUGCAGCUGCAUUAGGGCUACGGGAUUGUUAGAGGUGCAGAUUGCAUCAGGUGGCUGAUGGAUGUGAGGGCACUCUUCCUGCUUCUUAUUUUUUAAUUUCUCCUGUUCCUAGUAUUCCUAUGUGCACUUUAAAAAUCUGCUUUAGGCCUGGAGUUUGGGGGGCAUACCUUCGAUCCCAGCGCCCGAGAGACAGAGGAAGGCCUGGUCUACAUAUUAAAUUCCAGGACAGCCAGAGAUACGUAGAAAGAGCCUGCCUCAAAAAUACGCUUCAGGCCCCUAGAUGUAUAGCAGUGGUGGGGGAACUUGCUUUGCAUAUGUAAGGCCCUGUAGUUCCAUUUGCAGCGUUCUUCUUGCAGCUCAUGGGGUAUGAAUUCUCUGUCCCUGUGGGACUGGAGAUCUUCUACUCUGAGAGAAAUAGGCAAGACUCCUAGAGAGGUAGGGCCUUGAAAAGAGAAUAUUUGCUGUGGAAAAGACCAAGGAAUGUUAAGAUUUCAUUUAUUUUCUUUGUGGUUCUGGGGAACGAACUCCAGAAGUCUCACCUGCAAAACACUACCCUUGAGCUACAUGGCCCCUAGAUCCUAAAAUUUCUUUCGAAAGAAGGCAAUUGGGCUCUGUGAGUAAAGCAUUUGUCGGCAUGAGGACCUGUUUCCAAACUCAGGUGGGAAGAUGUGAAGCCUAGGCAGAGGAAUCCUCAGAGGAUUAGGACCAAGUACCCUGUAGAGGGAAAGAGAUCCUGCGAUGAACAGCCUAGAUUACAUAGAAUUCCAAACCAGCCAGGGUGACUUAAUGAAAAUCUGUCUUAAACACAAAAAAGUGAAGGAAAGUUAUCCUUAGAUCACCCGAUGUAGCACAUACAUAGCUACACACGUUACUCGGGCUCACGUGUGCGUACAUCAGAUACAUACAUCAGAUACACACUUGUGCACAGAUAUGAAGGGUAAAAGGCAGCUGGGCAUGGUGGCACUCAGCUUUAAUCUUAGCACUUGCCAGCCUGGUCUACAUAGUGAAUUCCGGGAUAAUCUGAGCUACAUAGUGAGACCCUGUCUCAAUAAACAAACAAACAAACAAGGCUUUUGAUCUAAGGGAGGCCAUGAGCAAAGAAGAGAUGGUACUUGUAUUAGGGUUCUCUCGAGUCACAGAACGUAUGGAAUGUCUCUAUAUUGAGGCAAUUUAUUGUGAUCCAAGUCAGAAACUCAAGAUCUUCCAGCCUCAAGAUCGAGAUCACAGCUCCUCUCCUGUUAGCUCUCCCCGCUCGCUCUUCUUUGGACCCACACCAGGUGUUCAGAACCCAUUUUGUUGGCAAGUUCUGCAAGAGUGUGCAAAGUCCUGGUGAAAAAAGAUAAGAGCUUGAAGCCAGACUACAAAGGCAGACACAGCUGGAACCAGUGUCUCACCAAUAGUGCCUGAAUCUCGACAUUGCAAAGAGAUCAGGAUGAGACCUCUUUAGUCCCGAGCCUGGAGGAGAGCAGACUUCAUCAAAGAAGACCCCAGGGGUCACAGGCACGUUGUUGAGUGAAGAUCUUUGCAUCUAUACAGGCAUGGUAAGGCCCUGCACUGUGGGAAAUGGCUGUCCCUUCUGGCUCCAACUCAACCUUAGUCAUGGUGGUCCUGCUGGUGUGGAGCCACUUGUGAGCUCCUUGCUCUGUGCUGUGCUCUCCCGAGGUUCCAGAGUCCAUGCUGUAGACUGUCCUUCCCGGGAACAAGCAUAGAGGCAAAGGGAAGACAGGGUCAGGACUGUGGGAUGGGGUUGUAGUUUGACAGACUAGGUUACUUCUGCCCCUCCCAAGCCCCACUGUUAUUAGGGACCACCUGGUAUACACCGGUCAUGGCUGCCCCAAGCAAGGUUACCAAGUGAGUCACACGUGGCAGCAUCUAGACAUGGGUGGGGCUACUGGAUUGAGGCAGGGCAUUGCUGUGUGCCUGACACUUGAGGCGACUUUUCUCUGCCUCCCUCUGGGCCAGCAAUUCUCAAUCUGUGGGUUGCGAGUGACCCCUUUGAGGGGAGUUGAAUGACUCUUCCACAGGGGCCACAUAUUAAAUAUCCUGUAUGUCAGAUAUUUACCUUAUGAUUCAUAACAUAAGCAAAAUUACAGUUAUGUUGUAGCAACAAAAAUAAUUUUAUACCUGUCCCCUUCACUCCUAUUUUAUACCCGUCCCCUCCACUCCUCAUCAUUAUGGGAGUCAGCGAGCAGAGGCCCUCAAGGGCAUGAGAUCAGAAAAGCUGGCCCUGCCCCUUGUUGGCUGUGAUAUUAGAUGAGCUAGCCCAGGCAGUGCUGGAGAUCUAGCCCAAAGCCACAGCAUCUCCACGACACAGGGCAGCAUCAAGGUAUCUGAGGAGUCCCAGUGAGAAUCCAGCAUUGAUAGUGUAGCAGAAGCCAGAGGCUUCAAACCAGACCAUGGCUCAUUGCAAUGAACAUUUGCAAGAUGUUUUCAAAAGUGACUAGAAUAGUAUGAGACACGGUACAGCUUCCACAGUGAAAAUUCUUUUCCUCUUGGUGGUUAGGUUGCAAGAGCUGAGGACAGUUAUGAAGGAACAGGA
rnacentral:sRNA from 1 species